rnacentral:rRNA from 1 species
CCUACGGGGCGCAGCAGUGAGGAAUAUUGGUCAAUGGGCGGGAGCCUGAACCAGCCAUGCCGCGUGAAGGCGAGUGCCCUACGGGCGUUAAACUUCUUUUGUGCGGGAGCAAUAAGGGCCACGUGUGGCCCGAUGAGAGUACCGCACGAAUAAGCAUCGGCUAACUCCGUGCCAGCAGCCGCGGUAAUACGGGGGAUGCGAGCGUUAUCCGGAUUUAUUGGGUUUAAAGGGUGCGUAGGCGGUCCGGAAAGUCAGCGGUAAAAGCCCGGGGCUCAACCCCGGCGAGCCGUUGAAACUGUCGGACU